rnacentral:rRNA from 1 species
GAUGAACGCUAGCGAUAGGCUUAACACAUGCAAGUCGAGGGGCAGCACAAGGUAGCUUGCUAUCUGGGUGGCGACCGGCGCACGGGUGCGUAACGCGUAUGCAACUUGCCCUAUACAGGAGGAUAACCCGUCGAAAGACGGACUAAUACUGCGUAUGCUCACAACUUGGCAUCAAGUGGUGAGGAAAGAAAUUCGGUAUAGGAUAGGCAUGCGUCCCAUUAGCUUGUUGGUGAGGUAACGGCUCACCAAGGCAACGAUGGGUAGGGGAACUGAGAGGUUUAUCCCCCACACUGGUACUGAGACACGGACCAGACUCCUACGGGAGGCAGCAGUGAGGAAUAUUGACCAAUGGGCGCGAGCCUGAACCAGCCAAGUCGCGUGAAGGAUGACUGUCUUAUGGAUUGUAAACUUCUUUUAUACGGGAAUAACAAGAGUCACGUGUGACUCCCUGCAUGUACCGGAUGAAUAAGCAUCGGCUAACUCCGUG